GAUAUAGAAGAAUGCUGUAUUUCAAUGAAUCACUGAAGCAGAUACUGCUUUCAAGAAGUUGAAGUAUAUAUUCACAAUCAUUUCAAUGCUGCAAUUAUUCAAUUUGAAUAAGCAUACAAUUUUUGAAACAGAUGUUUCAGAUUAUGUGAUGAAUAAAGUACUGAUAUAAUACAAUAAUAAAGAUAUUCUACAACUCUGUAUCUUUAUCUCAAAGAAAAUAUCAUUCAUUAAAUAUAACUACAAGAUCUAUAACAAGAAGCUUCUGAUAAUCAUACAAUAUCUCAAAGAAUGAAAAUUCAAGCUCAUGAGUGUAGAGAAGUUCAAGAUUGUCACUGAUUAUAAGAAUCUAGAAUACUUCAUAAUUACUUAUAAGCUUACAGAAAGAUAUAUACACUGAUUACUGUUUCUUAGUUAUUUCUUAUUUAUAAUCUAUUAUCAAUC
rnacentral:sRNA from 2 species